GGGUCUACACCGCCACCUCCGAUACUGUGCACUAUCUGAGAUUACUUGGCGCUGACUACAGCAAAUACGACGUGAACAAAUUCAAAAAAGACGUUCCCGAAAACGAAGAAGAAUCUGAAAUCUCAAAAACAGAGCCCGAAGCUAUGGAAGUGACAGAAGCCAACGGAGCAGCAAACGGUUCAAAAGAAGAAGAAAGUAAGCAAUCAUAGACAAUAGGUGAGUGGGAAGAGAAUUGUCUAUGCUCUUCCUACUCGUGGCUGUUAAUUACAUAAGAGUAUGUAUAAUUAUAAUGUUCGAGUUAUAUUUAAUGUUUUAUACUAUAACACAAUAAUAUACUGUUUAAAAAUAA